rnacentral:rRNA from 1 species
UACGAAGGGUGCAAGCGUUACUCGGAAUUACUGGGCGUAAAGCGUGCGUAGGCGGUUUGUUAAGUCCGUUGUGAAAGCCCUGGGCUCAACCUGGGAAUUGCAGUGGAUACUGGCGAGCUAGAGUGCGGUAGAGGAUGGUGGAAUUCCCGGUGUAGCGGUGAAAUGCGUAGAGAUCGGGAGGAACACCCGUGGCGAAGGCGGCCAUCUGGACUAGCACUGACGCUGAGGCACGAAAGCGUGGGGAGCAAACAGG